GAAAAUAUAAAAUAGACAUAUUGCCGCGGUUUCGGCUAGAAACCGCAUCAAUAGAUGUCAACGUGAAAAUUUUCAAACUUAAGUUGACUUUCUAACCAACUGUAUUGCUGUGGUUUUCAGUCAGAACCGCAACAAUAUAUUAAAAUAUUAAUUUUUUUUAUUAAUAUUUGAACCUAUUGCUGCGGUUUCUACAAAAAACCGCAGCAAUAGGAUGUUUUAAAAUAAAAUCUACGGCCCAAUUAGGGUUUUAUUCCUUCUUCCUUGUAAUAACUCCUAGUCGUUUUUUAAACCCUCUCUCUCCCUCUCAUUUCCUCCUCAUCAGUAAAAACAAAUAUUACGUUCUCCUCACUCUCUCUCAUCUCCUCCUCAUCGACCUAAACCCUAAAACCAAACCACCGCAAUUUUUCUAUUCUCAUCCUACUUCCCAUCAUUGUUGUCUGUCAGAUCAUGCGUCGCCUCGAAUUUCAGCCGCGAAUAUGUCUUCGUAGCGAGGAAGGUCGGUCUUAUGACUGACGAACUUACGAUUUCUCCGAAGCAGCGUGUAAGGUCGGUCGCAUCUCUUCAUCAACGUUGUUCGCAUUCGUUCGCAUCUCUCCAUCAUUCAUCUCCGGCGUUCGAACGUGGUCUCUGUACGUGGUCUGUUCAUCUCCAUCAACGUGGUCUCUCUACCGAUCGUUCGCAUCAACGUGGUGGCUCGUUUGCAUUCCGUUCGUCUCCACCACCGGCGAGUUGUUUAUAUUGGUUUCAAGAUCUAAUGAUAUUUUCCCUUUUUUCUUUAUUUUUUUUAUAUGUAUAUGUUCUGGACACCGCAAGUGUCACCUUUUGUAAUAUCCUAAAAACUUAAACGUAUUUAAGUAAAUAAUUAAUUUUAAUGAGUAGUUAAAUUAUAUUUUAUUUUAUUGUUUCACUAAUUAAGCAACGUAUAAUAAAACGACUAUAGAAUUUCAACAUAAAGUUUGCCAACUUAAAAAUGUUAGUAUCUAUGUCAUGAUAAUUUAUAUUUUAUGAUUUCAUGAGUUAAACAAGAAGGUUAGUUUAUGUUGUUAAUUUACUAAGGCACAAAAAUUUCCAAUUUUUCACUAAAUUAAAGUUCUACAAAGCCACGUGAAGAUUGGUGUAGAGUAGAGCAAAUUUUCUGAUUUUUUUAGAUUACAAAAGAGAAAAGCUUUCAUGGUCAACACUUCAUAACUUUGCCUCCUUCUUUACUCCUCCAUGGCCACUUGGCAAGCAUGCCACCACACUCCUUGCUUUUCCUCUGCCAAAAACCUGUCACCAAUCCAUCUUCUUAGCUUCUUCAAAUCAAAAAUUCAGAAUAGUUACUUCAAUUUCCUUCCUCCCAACCACUGAUUUUGUGUUCUUAAUUUCACUAUAAAUAUCCAUGAAAUCCAUCACCAAGAACACAACAAUUCAACAAACUUCAUCCCCUCACCUCUUACUUCACCACCACCUACGAACCACCUUUCAAACAUCACAAUUUCAGUUAAAACUUCGCCGGAAAAUGUGACCAAAGAAACCUAAAAAGAAAACCCCAAUUUUCUCUAUCUCUCCUCUAUUUCGGACCUUCCACCAUCACCACUACCGGUUCGCGCAGUCGCGCGCCCUCGCCCAAUCCUCGGUCGUCACUCUCCGGCCACCUGUAUGACUCGCUGGAGAUCCGCCAGCCUGCACGACUCGCUGGAGAUCCGCCAGCCUGCACCUCGUGUUCUCUCUCUCUUCCUCGCACUCCUCUGUCUCGCUCCUCUCCUCUUCGUCGCGCGUUGUUGUACCACACCACCUACGACCCGCGCCACACCACCAACGACCUCCGUCGCGCCGCCGUUGUUCUCGCCGUCACCGCUGCUCUUCGCUGCCGUCUACCGGAGCCGUAAGUCCCCCUCCCUUCAUCGUCCCUGCUCCUAGUAGUAGAGAUUAAAGAAGAUAGAAGGAUAUUACAAGCCUCCCCCGGCUAUCAAGAUUGGUAAGCAGGAAUUCAGGUAACGUCUAUUGCUAGCACCUACACUCCCUUUCCAACUAUGUUUCAUACGAUGUUUUUAUGAAAUGUUUAUGCGAUGUUUUUAAGGUGUGCGGGAUAUGAAAUGUUUCCUAUCUAAAUAAUGUUUAUUAAAUGAUUUGAUGUUUUAUGAAGUAUGACGACUUUGAUGUUAUGAAAAUAUGGUGAUGAUUACGUUAUGAUUAUGUAAUAUUAAAAGAAACGAAACAUGAUAAAGUUCAAGUGAAAGAAGGUUCUUGGCACUAUCCAGUGGGUACCGCAAGUGACCUUUGUUGUGGCCGCCCUUCUAGUUAAUGAUUGGGCACCGAAAGUGUCACCUUUGUUGUGAUCGCCUUUCCGUGGGCACCGCACGUAUCACCUAUGUUGUGACCGCCCUUAUGGAUGUCAACGAUAUGGGCACCGAAUGUGUCACCUAUGUUGUGGCCGCCUUUCUGUAUGUUGUGGGGAGACGUCCCUUCUGUUGUACCAGCCAAGUUACCAAAGUAAAAGAUAUAUGAUGAUGAUGAAGAUAACGAAUGAUGACAAUGUUUUAUGAUUAUAAUUUAAUGCUUAUGUUUACGAAAUGGUUUUACUGUUUCUCUCCUCCCUGUCUGCUAACAAAAUGAAUUGAAAUGCUUUUACGAUGUUAUUGUUGUAUGUUGCUAAGCUUCGGCUCAUGACGUUUUGUUUUAUGUUUUAAGUAUGGAAGAACGGUCGUGGAUCACUAUUAUACUGCGUUAUGGAGAUUAUGUAUAGUUCUAUGACCGAGGUUUUAGGAUAUUUUGUAUGAUGGAUAAACAAGUAUUAUUUUACGACGAAUAAUUGUAUAGUGAAUAUUCAAUUUUAGGCUAUUAUUUUAUUUGUGGGCCAUAACACACGGGAUUAAGUUAUGUUUCCGCUGACGAUUAAGGUUAUGUAAAUCUUCGGGAAGUAACAAUUUUGUUGUGGCCGCCUUUUGGAUUAAUGUUAUGGGCGCCGCAAGUGUCAA